UGCAUUUGAUGUUGGCACCUUAUCGUAGCAGUUCGGCAACGUAGGAGGUUUCUGAUACAAGGCUGAUGCAAAACAAUAUUUCCCUGUGCAAAAAGGUAGGAAUCUCCCUCGGGCCCUUCAGUUGAAGUCAUGAUUUAGAGGUGAGUGUAGGCAGCGUCCCGGAGGAACAAGCACUCACUGCAACCAUCUGAGGAGCGUUGGAGAUGGCUGCGGUGAUGAGAAUUGGCUCUGGAUGUGAGCAGGCUGGCUUUCCGCCUGAAAAAGGACAAAAGGUGGAUCCUGCCUUUGGUCUCACUCUUACGAGCGUGAUGGUACAUUUGGCUUCUCUCUUUAGUGUACCUCUGUUUCUUUGGGACUGUGGUGCUGUGACGGCACGCCGCAGAUUAUAAUGUACUGAACUUUUCAAAAACCGUUCUCCACCCUUGAGCAUUUUGGUGUCUUGCUCUUUAGGGCCAUUUCGGUUGCAGCUACUAUUUACUGUUUCGUCUCUGCCAGCCUUUAAACGUGCAAAGACUGAAGUGUUUGCCAAAUCUCCUCAUCACAAUGCCUCAAAUUUCAUGAAACGGAGAGCGUUUAAACAGCAGUUUUCAAUGGCUGCCACAUGUUUCCAUUUGGAUUUAUAUCUUCACUUUGACUAGGCCAUUUUAAGACAUAAAUCUGCUUCAAUCUCAACCAUUCCACUGUAGCUCUGGGUGCAUGUUAAGGUUUUUUUGUCUUGUCAGAAGGUGAACUUGUUUGUAAUUCUGGCCUAUGCAAAUAUUUCACAUUAGCUUUUUUAAAAUUAUUAUUAUAAACUGAUUAUUUGAUUUUUGAAUACAGUUGUUUACACUGGAUUUUGUUGAUUGGUACCAAAAACCAUCUAAAAUGUUAAUUCUGCACCCUAUAGAUACUUUUUUGGUUGCCUACAUGAUAUAUCUCAUUAUAAAGCGUCGAUGUUUGCAAAAAUGUGGAAAGAAAGUUGUGACGGGUCUCUGGUAGCUUCUCAGACUUCUAUAUCUUCAGCUGUUUAUGUGCAAUUGCACACAAUCUGAGUCAAAUCACUUCCUCAACCUUCAUGUUUCUGUCAUUCCUGGACCCACACUCUUGACAACUCUUGAUUGAAAUGUGCAACAUUUAUUUAUUUAUUUAUUUAUUUUUUUGUUGCUUACUUGCACUGAAACACUGGCGAAAUACUGCCUUCCUGCAGCAUGUUGCUCGGUUUUUCAUCAUUUUCUCAUAAUCUUACUUCUUUUUUUUUUUUUUCCCCCCCUCUCCUCCCCGAGGAAUUACGCUUGAACCUUAAGAAUGUGUUCCACCCAAACUGUGUCAAACUCCUCAGAUAUGCAGUAAACAAAGCUGGCAUCUAACUGCAGGGCGGGAUGCUGUGCCAUUUGUGCUGUGCUGGGGGACAGCGAGCCGGUUUUCUUUGCAGGCAUACCUUUAAAAUGUUAAUUGUUGUGCUCAUUUUUUUAUAAUCGAGGGAGAAGACUCUUCCCCCUAAAUAUAGCCGCGCUUGCUCGCAUAGACCAGCACUGAUUUAUAUUGCAUAGGGAAGACG